rfam:Caenorhabditis brenneri strain PB2801 C_brenneri-6.0.1_Cont21.6, whole genome shotgun sequence.
CAGUUUUUGUACUUCACAAGAGUACUGGCGGUUCAGGUCCGGCUCAGAACUUUUGUGGGGUGCAAGAACAGC